UGGCAGCAAGUAGCGUCCGCUGUCAACAGCGUCAGUGGAACGGAGCCAGCGUGGCAGCCGUCAUGUUACGUCGUUUGUGUUCCACAGCGGAUGAAGAUGCGGAGCGUCUCAGCAAUCUUCAUCACAUACACAACAAUGGACAGGCGACAGUGCACAGUGAUAUGAAUUAGCAAUUUGUGAGGUCUGAUUUUAGGAGGCAUUUUUGUAAUGCAAAAGUAUUACGGUACUCUUUUGAACACAUAUUGUUUUGCGAAGCCAAACUCUUUACUUAAGUGGCCCCACCAAACUAAAUGGAACUACGUUCCUCAUGACUGAAAUCCGACCAGUAUUGGGCUCUCGGGACCAAGUGAAUGAACCUGCAAUAAACAAAGAAAGAUUCACUUGAUGCAGCCCAUCCUCACCCAGACUCCACCUCCAGCGGGCACCACAGUGACUCCAGACGUGACGUCAACCUCUGCCAACUCGAUCAGCACCUGCAAGGACAAGACUGUGUUUAGGUGGCAGCACUUACAGGGUGUGAAGAAGUGUUUGCCCCCUUCCUGAUUUAUUAUUUUAUUGAUGUUUGUCACACUUAAAUGUUUGAGAUCAUCAAACAAGUUAAAAUAUAAGUCAAUGACCACACAACUCAACACAAAAUGCAGUUUUUAUAGGAAACUUUUUAUUAUUACUUUUUAUUAUGGAAAAUACUCUGUGGUCUGACGAGACAAAAGUUGAACUUUUUGGAAGGUGUGUGUCCAAUUACAUCUGGCGUAAAAGUAAUGCUGCAUUUCAGGAAAAGAACAUCAUAUCAACAGUAAAAUAUGGUGGUGGUAGUGUGAUGGUUUGGGGCUGUUUUGCUGCUUCAGGACCUGGAAGACUUGCUGUGAUAAAUGGAACCAUGAAUUCUACUGUCUACCAAAAAAUCCUGAAGCAGAAUGUCCCACCAUCUGUUCAUGACCUCAAGCUGAAACCAACUUGGGUUCUGCAGCAGGACAAUGAUCCAAAACACACCAGCAAGUCCACCUCUGAAUGGCUGAAGAAAAACAAAAUGUAGACUUUGGAGUGGUCUAGUCAAAGUCCUGACCUGAAUCCUAUUGAGAUGCUGUGGCAUGACCUUAAAAAGGCGCUUCAUGCUGGAAAACCCUCCAGUGGGGCUGAAUGACAACAAUUCUGCAAAGAUGAGUGGGUCGAAAUUCCUCCACAGCGCUGUGAAAGACUCAUUGCAAGUUAUCACAAACGCUUGAUGGCAGUUGUUGCCGCUAAGGUUGGCCCAACCAGUUAUUAGCCUUAAGUUUCAUUUAAAUACUGCAUUUUGUGUUUUGUGUUCUGUUCUUCAGUUGUGUUGUCAUUGAUAUUUAAAUGUGUUUGAUGAUGUGAAAUAUUUGUGUAACAAACAUGCGAAAAAAUAAGAAAUCAAGAAGGGGCAACACUUUUUGUCGUCAUACAAGGACGUAUCACCUGUCCAAUGAGGUCAGGGCUUCUGAAGGAGGCGGAGUUAUUCUUCACUGAGACGCUGAGCUGCUUGAGCUUCACUUCCUCCACAGGCAGUUUGUAGUCAAACCUACAAGAAAGUCACCAACGAUGAUAAAGUAUGCGUUGUCGUUCGGUUCUCUGGUCUGGACUUUUGUGAACGCUACACAGACCAAAUGGAGCAGGGUAAUAAUGACAGCAAAAAGCAUGCCGAAAAUACAAAUACAGUAUGUUGGUGAAAUCUACGAUGGUAAACGCAGCAGAAAACAAAAACUGCCCAAUCAUGCGUACGAGUAAAGAACCUCCAGUUGACUCCGUUACCUCUCGUUAAAUUCAGGGUUGAGAUCUCGUUUCUUGACGGUCGUCUUCUUCUUGGUGGCUUUGCUUUUGUCCGGCAGCAGCAAGAGGGUGACGUAGCUGUCCAGCGCGUCCUUGCUGGUGCACAACAAACCUCUGUGUGCACACAAAGACAGCAUUUAGCAAACGUCCAGUCGCCCUGUUCAUUAUUGUAUGUUAGAAUGAGGCUUUCUGUGGAGUCAUUCAAGUCUUCACUCUUUAUCUCGUCCUUUAAAUGUUCCCCUCUUCAAUAUCCUCAAAUAGGGGCUUUGGCUUUACGCAAAGUCCACAAAGGACAAAUAUAGCCCCCCUAAUGGAGGUCAAAUUCCUUGAUCUUUCUGAACAUAUUGUUAUAGAACACUACUAACACACUGACUCAUCUAAAAAAGGCUGCGUUUUGUGAGUUGCUGUGGUAGAGCCCAGGAUAAUUGUGCCAUACUUUUCUUUAGACGCUUACUUGGCACUGAGCAGAGGUCACCGUGUGCCCGUGUUAAUGCUGUGGAACUCCACCACUGUAAUGAUGAAGUUAACAAUAAUACAACACAUCAACAUAAACACACCCAUUUUUCAUUUUUCGUGCAAAAUAAAUUAACAGAAUUUUAAAAAAUGGUCUGGGCUUGGAAUCGAACAAGGACACGCUGCCUUAAAAGGCAGCAGAUCUACCUUUACACCUACUCCAACGAGCACCGUGGCAGAUUACUCGUCUUGUUUUUUGCCUGGGGGCCAAAUUGCGACACACGGCCCAUUCUAAUUUAACAAGCAAACAACAGCAAAAACUCUGCAGUAAUUUGACAAAAAUAAAGUCAAAAUAUUAAGAGAAAAAAGGUGUAAUCUAACGAGAAAAAGACAGAAUUGUAUGAAAAUAAUGUAAUAUUAUGAGGAAAAAAUGUCAUUUUAGCCGAUAAAUGAAAUGAAAUGAAAUAUUAAAGCAAGAAAUAUGUAUUUUUUUAAGUCUAGAAAAAUUUGGUAGAAAAUUAGGAUGGGGAAAAGUUAUAAUAUAAAAAUUAGGUGAAAAUAUUAUGGAAAUAAAGUCAUAAUAUUGCAAGAACAAAAAUUACAAGAAGAAAGUUGAAACAUUAAUACAUAUUAAUAAAAAUGAGGCAGUAUUCUAAUGAGAAAAAAAGUUUGAAUUUUGGGAGAAUAAAUGUGUAAUAUUAUGAGGAAAAAUAAUGUCAUUUUAGUGGCAUAGAAUUAAAAUAUUAAAGAAUUUUUUUUAAGUUGUAAUAUUAUGAAAAAUAAAGUUGUCAUUUUUGGAAAAUUAGGUUUGGGAAAAAGUGAUAAUAUGGGAAUAAAGUCAAAACAUUGUGGGAAUAAAAUCAUAAUACUACGAGAGGAAAAUGUAUAAAUAUUAUUUAAGAAGAAAGUUGAAAUAUUUGGAAAACAGCAAAAUGGGAAAACAGAAGAGCGUGAAGUUGAUCGUAAUAAAAGGCUUUUUCACCAUCAGGAUGUCACAAAGCUGAGAUGAUUUGGUUUUCUUGAAAUCCAUGUAACUUCUUAGCGUACAGGAUCUACAUGGUUGCUUUACAAAAUAUCAAAGUGGCAAAGUCGCAUCCUUUCAUUUUUCACCAUUCAGUCCAAAAGUUUGGACACCCCUGCCUUCCACCAUGCGCAUCCUUUGAGCAUUUCAAGAGAAUGCGCUCCCUUGCUCAAAACAAGUCGCAGCGCCCUGUUAGCAUCCCUGACCAUGUGUGUCGACUCAAGCAGGCACUUUUUAGUCAUGAGAAGACCACGGUGGCGAGGACGGCAGUACAUUGAUGUGUUCUCUCCUGCGUCACCUUUCAUGUUUUCCUGGCAUAAUUUGCUAACACGGUUCUGGUACUGGAUCUCAUUGGACGGUGCAAAAGUGUGAGCCCAAAGUAAACGCCCACCUGCAGGCAUGGAUGACGACGCUCAACUUGCUGUCUUGUGAGUCAUAGGAAAGCGACAACUUCACCUGCCCGUUCCCAGAUCCACUACCAGGAGCCGCACAAGGCAGCGUCCCACUACAGAUCAUCUCCACCAUUCUGGACUCCAGAACCUGUUAAAAACAAGAGAUGUCCACUACUGUAGUGCAUUAUGUGUACUACACAUAUACAGUAUUGUAUAAGUACUAUACAUAUGUACUAUAGCAUGCUUUGUAUUUUCCCGACGAUAAGUCACAAUUUUUUUCAGUUUGGCUGGUCCUAAUUAAACAUGUGCUGCCUUUAAGUUAAAGUGGGGUGGUGGUUGUUUUUUUGGCGACACCUAGUGGCCGCAAUAAUUCACUGAGUUGAGGUUGUGACACAGUUAGGCACACAAAUUGAAAGAUAUGGAGUAUACCGGACGCUUUUUCUUCUGGAAUACUUUCUAAUACACUUCUGCCUUGGAGACUGUGUAAGGAUGUCUGUAAGUAAUGUGCAACUAUUCUGAAGCGAGUGACCCAUCUGUUUGAGUUAUGUUUUCAUGCCCACCUUCAGCUGAAGCCUCAGCAGGACCUUACUGUCAGCCGCUGCUCCAUCCAAGCGGAACCACUGAUCCAGGACCAGCUGUGGCUCAGCCAGCAGCUCCUUGACGGAGACCACCAGCGAACCCAUCGGCUGGUCCCAGCCGCUGGAAAACUGGAAUGCAAGAAAACAUAACAAAUUCCAACAUGAGCAAUGUUAUAUUACUAUUAACAGGACCACACGUACACACAACAAAAAGGUUUUUGUGAUGUUCGGUGUGUCCCUGAAUGCAUCUCGCAGUAGCGACAAUGCGGAAGUCCCAUUCCGAGGCUGACCGGACGAGAGAUGUGUUUGUGAGUUGGAGACAUGCUGUGUAUGCUGUUGGGAUUGCACUGCUGUUGGUGUGUUCAGGUCAGAAUAAAGUUAUUAAAGAGUGGCAGACUGUGGGGAGCUAGACUGUGCCGCCGUCUGUCGCCAUAAUGGAGAGGCGUGGCUUGCCAUGAUAUGUAUACGUUAAUUACGCACAAAAAAACAUAUAACAUAUAAAAUAUAUAAUGUAAUACAGUAUGUAUUACAUUAUGUAUUUUUAUUAUUAUUAUAUUAUUCGGAUAAUAUUAUCAAAGUUAAGAGUGAAAAUGUCGUAUUGCUUUACCUUGAGCACAAGCAUCUGCUGUUUUGGGUCACGCACCAGGAAGUAG